AUGCAUCUGCUUGGCAGACAUGGAGCACUUAUUGUGUUCUGGUAAGGUUUUCACUACAGACACAAGACAAAAGUAUCCUGGAGCUUUCUAAGUGUGGCUGCCAAGAUUGAAUGGGGGAAUAUAGUA
ensembl:snoRNA